ACCAUAGUCAAGCUGGAGAAUUACAGGAUCAGGUCUGGAAUGAACAAUAGUCAAAGUCCAAAAAGCUGACUGUCCCACAGUAGCAAAAUCUGAGUUCAGUCAGGAAACAAUGAAGUUGGCAGCCACUACAAUCCUUCAAACUGAGCCUCUUCAUUCUAAGAUCUCAGGUGUAGCUUGUUGAGAGCUUGUUUCUCUGCUAAUCCUGCAGACCUGGAAGACACUUCAUGCUUCCUUCUCUGUGUUAUAAAGCUGGAGGAUGCACAGGCAUUCUUCAAAGGUCUAUGUCCCAGACAGAAGGUAAAAAAGGAAUGCCACAAGAGAUGGAGCUGCUGUUGAGUUCUCAACCAUGUAACUGCCAUGAGAGGUGAUGUCAUGAAACUGAAGCAUACAAAUACGUUUUUCACUUGGCUGGUGCAAAGAAGAAGCUGGCAGGUGGUGGCUGGAGGCCUCCUUGAAGAUUGGCUGGACUCACAGGAAUGCCAUCGCCUGCUGUUUUAUUUUCCUAUUGGCUGGCUAUUAUUAAAGUUAAGUAGGAAACAACAGAAACCCAAUAAGAAAACCUUGUGGGAAGCUGAUUUUUCAUUGUCAACUCAAAUUCUUCUGGUUGAAGACUCAGACAGCAGUUGCAUGUCCCAUACCUGCUGUUAUUUUUUUCCCAUUCCCUCACUAAUUAAUCCCUGCAAAGCAACUAGUGGCACUGUUAAUUGUUUUCUUGUCUUCAUUCCAGGCUCAUUCUGCAUGGUGUGCAAUAGAAUGGGAUAGCAGGAUUCUUUUGUUGCUUUGAGUUAUUAGAUAUGUGUUUAAAACCAGCCUUGGUAGAAGUUCCAAAUUCAAAUAACUCUUCUACUGGGAUAUAGAGGAUUUAACCCAAGGGUGGAUUGGGCCUUGAGAAGAUUAACAGAGCUUUAGCAAAGACACUAUUUUUCUUUGUUGUUCAACUUUAGGUAGCAAGUGGCUUGGGAUAGCAAUCUUUCUCACCUAUCUUUUAAAGCAGUCUUAAUAUUGAG
rnacentral:lncRNA from 11 species